CGGAAACACCGCUAUUAUAACUUGUGACGCAAUUUCCGAUGAAAACAUGUCUGGAAGCAUGGGGCGGUCAUUGAUGGUUCUCUGUGAUUAAAUCUACGAAGAAUGAGGCUUCUCCUUCGUCUCAUGAGGUCUGUUCGUGUGUAGCAGGGAAACGUGUAGCUACCGAACAGAGUGAGGAUGAGGACAGAGGACCGGGAUCUGAUCCUGCGGGUGUGUGGCGCGUCCUCUCUGCGGGUCGGCGCUAAGAUCCAGUCCCUGUGGAGCGGCUAUGGUGAGAUCGUCCGCCUGCACCUGCAGGGCAGCGGGCACGCGACCGUGGUUGUCAAACACGUCAAGUUUCCGCAACAUGUGGCUCCUCGUGGCGGCGGAAACACUGACCGCUCCCACGCUCGCAAAGUCCGAUCUUACCAAGUGGAAACGUACUGGUACCAGAACUACUCCACGUCCCAGGACUGUAGAAUCCCUUCAUCCCUGGCCGCCUGUUCCCACGGAGACGAGAUGCUGAUUGUUCUGGAAGACCUGGAUGCAGCUGGCUACAACCAGCGAAGAACCACGGUGACAGACUCUGAGAUCCGGAUGUGCCUGCGCUGGCUCGCCCAGUUCCACGCGCUGUUCCUGGGCGUGGCUCCGACAGGUCUAUGGCCAGUCGGCACUUACUGGCACCUGGAGACACGACCCGAUGAGCUGGAUGUCAUGGAGGACAGCGAGCUGAAGGCAGCAGCCGCAGAAAUCGAUCGGCGACUGAGCGCUUGUCGAUUCCUGACCAUCGUGCAUGGAGACGCCAAGUUAGCAAACUUCUGCUUUUCCAGCAGCAGCCAGCAGGUGGCGGCAGUAGACUUUCAGUAUGUGGGGGGCGGCUGCGGGAUGAAAGACGUCGUCUACUUCCUGGGAAGCUGCCUGGAGGAGAGGCAGUGUGAGAAAAAGGUUCCUGCUCUUCUGGACUUCUACUUCUCUGAACUAAAGAAAUCUGUAAAACCCGGAGUGGACUUUCCCGCCCUGGAGGACGAGUGGAGGGCAAUGUUUGCGCUUGCAUGGACCGACUUCCACCGCUUCUUGUUGGGCUGGAUGCCGGGUCACUGGAAGGUCAACAGCUACAGCAAACGGUUGUGCAAAGAGGUUCUGAGUGGACUCCAGGUCUGAGACUGGAUUGAUGAGAUUCUUGUUUGAUGUGAGCUCAACGUACAUGUGCCACUUUGGGAUCAUCUAUGGCGACGACUCUUGACGAAAAACUGUUUUCACUGGUGCCAUAUUUGGCACCAAGAAGCCUUGGAGUUGACCAGUGGUGGCUGAAUGAAUGAAGAAAUUACAUCAAAACAGACAGAACGAGACUCCACCCUACUUGCAGUUACUCUGAGAACAUUGAAUAUAACAAACUAUGAUUCACAUAUCCACAUUCAAAACACGAUUUUCCUUUUAAAUGUCCAUGUAUUGCUUUAAAUAAGCCUGGGUGGAAUUGAUUCCCAUUCAGUGGUUAUUUCAUCAUUGAACUUGUUGCACAAGCGUCUAAAUUUUUUGUUUUAGUUUUUCCCAUCUGUUCAUUAACAAUUCCCGUGAUGUUUGUACUUCAAAAUGCAAAUAAACGUUUCAUCAGAUGACGUCACAAUGCGUUCCUCAAUCAUCAGCUGAUUCGAUUACGUCACGUGGUGCGGGACCCUGUAACGCCACUUCCGCUCAGCAGCCGACAUUAUAAACAAGAGUCGAGUCCGACGGACGACGAGGGGCGGACUACUCAGCAGGAAGUGGCAGAAUUACGUCUGGCACCCAAGUUGUAGACUGGCCCGACAGGCCCCAGACCACCAACCCCAUUCCCUCCGGUACUGGACACUUUCAGGUGUUUGCUCCAGAAUGGAGAACGUUUGAGCUGGACCUUCUUCCAGCAGACCCGCCCUGGUAGUACUAUGAGCCAU